AUUCUGCCCAUGCGGGGAAGGAUGAGAAGCUUCAACCAAGGUUCGACUUGAGCGCCAGCGAGAGAGCGUUGCCGCAGGCAACGAC
rnacentral:sRNA from 1 species